AGUGAACGCUGGCGGUAUGCCUAAUACAUGCAAGUCGAACGGCAGCACAGUAAGAGCUCUCUCUUACGGGUGGCGAGUGGCGGACGGGUGAGGAAUACAUCCGAAUCUACUUUUUCUUGGGGGAGAACGUAGGGAAACUUACGCUAAUACCGCAUACCACAUUCUUGUUAAUUCAGGGGUACUUAGUUCCUUGCUCGAAUUGAUCCACUGAUGGCGGAUUAUGUAUUUGAUGGGGUAAAGGCCGACCAAGGCGACGAUCCGUAGCUAGUCUGAGAGGAUGAUGAGCCAAACUGGAACUGGGACCCGGUCAGGACUCCUCCGGGAGGAAGCAGUGGGGAAUAUUGGACAAUGGGCGCAAGCCUGCUCCAGCAAUACCGCGUGGGUAAAGAAGGUCUUCGAGUUGUAAAGCCUUUUUGUUGGGAAAGAAAAGCAGCAGGUUAAUACCCCGCUGUUCUGACGGUACCCAAAGAAUAAGCGCCGGCUAACUUCGUG
rnacentral:rRNA from 1 species